UUGAAAGGGAAACGAUUGAAGUCAGUCGUACCAGCGGGAAAUCAACCUUUCGAGUGGGGGUUUGGGAGUUUUGAAGAGUUUCAAAACCUUUGAGAUUUCAAAAAUUUCGCUCUUUUGGUGUACUUUCUCGUGGGUAGGUUAACAUCGAUUUUGAUCAUCAUAAAAAGAUUGGAGGAAUGUAGCUUCGAUCUUGUAUUGAAGUGUUAUAGCCUUUGGUAAAUGUGAUGAUUAGGAUCGAGGAUUGCAACGAAUACCCUUUUGGGCUAUCCGCCUGAUCUCUGAUACGUGGCCUUGGUAUCGAAAGCUUGCUUAUGGUUUUAAGGGAUUACGGUCAAAAGGUUAGAACGGAUUACAUUCGUUAAGGAUGUUGACGUA
rnacentral:rRNA from 1 species